ACGCAUCUCUGGCGGCGAGGGCGCGCCCCGCUCCGGACCGAAAGGCCGUGCAGCGGGCUAGCCCGGACCGCUCAACCUUUGCAAACCCCACUGUGCACUCUUGUCGGCGGAGGGCUUUGCGGCCCCGAGCCGGAUCACAAACCCCAAGUUUUUGAAUGCAAAGCGGACUCUGUGCCGCCUAAACUUAAA
rnacentral:misc_RNA from 1 species